GAAAUGCGAUAAGUAAUGUGAAUUGCAGAAUUCAGUGAAUCAUCGAAUCUUUGAACGCACCUUGCGCUCCUUGGUAUUCCGAGGAGCAUGCCUGUUUGAGUGUCAUGGAAUUCUCAACUCUAUUUGCUUUUGUGAAUAGAGCUUGGAUUUGGAGGUUUAUUGCUGGUACUUGUGAUCGGCUCCUCUUGAAUGCAUUAGCUCGAACCUUUGCGGAUCAGCUAUCGGUGUGAUAAUUGUCUACGCCGUUGCAGUGAAGCAUAUCAAUGGGCUCGGCUUCCAAUCGUCCUUUACUGGACAAUGACUUUGACCUUUGACCUCAAAUCAGGUAGGAUUACCCGCUGAACUUAAGA
rnacentral:misc_RNA from 1 species